UAGGGAAUCUUCCGCAAUGGACGCAAGUCUGACGGAGCAACGCCGCGUGAGUGAAGAAGGUUUUCGGAUCGUAAAACUCUGUUGUUAGAGAAGAACAAGUGCUAGAGUAACUGUUAGCGCCUUGACGGUAUCUAACCAGAAAGCCACGGCUAACUACGUGCCAGCAGCCGCGGUAAUACGUAGGUGGCAAGCGUUGUCCGGAUUUAUUGGGCGUAAAGCGAGCGCAGGCGGUUCCUUAAGUCUGAUGUGAAAGCCCCCGGCUCAACCGGGGAGGGUCAUUGGAAACUGGGGAACUUGAGUGCAGAAGAGGAGAGUGGAAUUCCAUGUGUAGCGGUGAAAUGCGUAGAUAUAUGGAGGGACACCAGUGGCGAAGGCGACUCUCUGGUCUGUAACUGACGCUGAGGCUCGAAAGCGUGGGUAGCAAACAGGAUUAGAUACCCUGGUAGUCCACGCCGUAAACGAUGAGUGCUAAGUGUUGGAGGGUUUCCGCCCUUCAGUGCUGCAGUUAACGCAUUAAGCACUCCGCCUGGGGAGUACGACCGCAAGGUUG
rnacentral:rRNA from 1 species